rnacentral:rRNA from 1 species
UACGAAGGGGGCUAGCGUUGCUCGGAAUGACUGGGCGUAAAGGGCGCGUAGGCGGUUUGUACAGUCAGGUGUGAAAUUCCCGGGCUCAACCUGGGGGCUGCACUUGAUACGUAUGGACUGGAGUGGGGAAGAGGGUCGUGGAAUUCCCAGUGUAGAGGUGAAAUUCGUAGAUAUUGGGAAGAACACCGGUGGCGAAGGCGUCGACCUGGUCCUUGACUGACGCUGAGGCGCGAAAGCGUGGGGAGCAAACAGG